rnacentral:tRNA from 1 species
CGUUUAGCUCAGCUGGUUCAGAACACUCCGAUAUAUCGGAGGGGUCGGCGGUUCGAAUCCGUCAACGCCCA